rnacentral:lncRNA from 1 species
ACGAAUCAAUUUCCAGAUCUAGAGUUAAAGGCACCAGUGGCACUUGACCCCUUCACCAGUGUUUUUGAGACAUUGAAAAAGCUUAUCGAGCUCUACUUGAGUAACCUGAAAGCUUGAUGUGUUUGUUGAUUGGUGUAUUGAAUGAUCUGUGAACAUUCUUUGCACUCUCAAAUUUUCUUCACUUUUUCUUGCUGUAUAUGUCAAGCUUGUCUUAAGAUUCAAACACUUCCAUGGGCUUCUAUUUGUAUCAGGUUCGGAUACAUUUAAACUAGUGUUUUCUCUUUUGUGGUAAUUUGGAUUUAUCUGAUUUGAAUAAACUGGAUUGGGAUAUCCUUUAAUAAAAUUUGGAAAAAGCUAAGAUAUAAUAAUAGAAACAAUUGGGAUGUACCUGACGCUGACGAGCCGCAGAUGAAAGGUUCCAUGCAUUCCAAUAAGGCAACUGUCAAGUAGAAAUGCAGAUGUAAAUUCCCACCAC